rnacentral:rRNA from 1 species
AUGCAAGUCGAACGGUGAAGCAGAGCUUGCUCUGUGGAUCAGUGGCGAACGGGUGAGUAACACGUGAGCAAUCUGCCCCUGACUCUGGGAUAAGCGCUGGAAACGGCGUCUAAUACCGGAUACGAGCUGCGAUCGCAUGGUCAGUAGCUGGAAAGAAUUUCGGUCAGGGAUGAGCUCGCGGCCUAUCAGCUUGUUGGUGAGGUAAUGGCUCACCAAGGCGUCGACGGGUAGCCGGCCUGAGAGGGUGACCGGCCACACUGGGACUGAGACACGGCCCAGACUCCUACGGGAGGCAGCAGUGGGGAAUAUUGCACAAUGGGCGAAAGCCUGAUGCAGCAACGCCGCGUGAGGGAUGACGGCCUUCGGGUUGUAAACCUCUUUUAGCAGGGAAGAAGCGAAAGUGACGGUACCUGCAGAAAAAGCGCCGGCUAACUACGUGCCAGCAGCCGCGGUAAUACGUAGGGCGCAAGCGUUAUCCGGAAUUAUUGGGCGUAAAGAGCUCGUAGGCGGUCUGUCGCGUCUGCUGUGAAAACCCGAGGCUCAACCUCGGGCCUGCAGUGGGUACGGGCAGACUAGAGUGCGGUAGGGGAGAUUGGAAUUCCUGGUGUAGCGGUGGAAUGCGCAGAUAUCAGGAGGAACACCGAUGGCGAAGGCAGAUCUCUGGGCCGUAACUGACGCUGAGGAGCGAAAGGGUGGGGAGCAAACAGGCUUAGAUACCCUGGUAGUCCACCCCGUAAACGUUGGGAACUAGUUGUGGGGUCCAUUCCACGGAUUCCGUGACGCAGCUAACGCAUUAAGUUCCCCGCCUGGGGAGUACGGCCGCAAGGCUAAAACUCAAAGGAAUUGACGGGGACCCGCACAAGCGGCGGAGCAUGCGGAUUAAUUCGAUGCAACGCGAAGAACCUUACCAAGGCUUGACAUAUACGAGAACGGGCCAGAAAUGGUCAACUCUUUGGACACUCGUAAACAGGUGGUGCAUGGUUGUCGUCAGCUCGUGUCGUGAGAUGUUGGGUUAAGUCCCGCAACGAGCGCAACCCUCGUUCUAUGUUGCCAGCACGUAAUGGUGGGAACUCAUGGGANACUGCCGGGGUCAACUCGGAGGAAGNNNGGGAUGACGUCAAAUCAUCAUGCCCCUUAUGUCUUGGGCUU